AUGUGAAGUGUGCACAAGUUUCUCUUCACUUUAUGCAUUAAUAUCUCAAGAGGAAGAUUGGAGCAUUUAAGAAGUACAACUGAAGAUAAUGCCUACCAUUUUCUGGGGAAAUUCCUUAUAACACCUAGCUUCUAAAAUUUGUUGUACACCUGCAUAUCCAAAGUCAAUAGAAAUUGCAGGGACUCAGUACCUCUGAUAACCAAGCACCCAAAAGUGGAAAGCUGAAUUACACUUUCUGAGAUGCAAUACUAUUUGUGAUGUUAUCUCAGCCACUCAGACCCUUCAAGCCCAAACUGCAGCUGUUGUAAUGCUUUGAAACAGAGAGGAACAGUCACUUUAGCCAAAAAAGACUUGCCUGUCAUGAAUGAAAGCAGUGAAUUCUACAAUUUCUAAGCAGAUGACAUCCUGGGAAAGUGGGGGUGGGAUGGUGUUUGCUAAUUACUCAAUAACAAAAUAUCUCUCCUUAAUUAGUGCUGAAAAUUAUUACUUCAAAUAAAUACUAAUGUCAAUUUGUUACUCUGUACCGUAUGGAUAACACAUCAGAUUAUAACUGAAUAUUUCUAACUAGUGAAAACUUUAAAAAUGUCAUGCAUUAAGGCACUGUUUAUUCAUAGUCUCUAUAAGCACACUAUGAGAUAUAUUUGACCUACUGUUCAGUGAUAUAUAUUUUACCUGCAUCUAACUUUAAAAACCAAAGGCUUCUGAUAUUUACUGAACCAUGUGUUUCAAUAAAUAUGUUCUCUGCAUAUUAAGGUGUGCCUUUGAUAGGACUGCCACACUGACAAAUGCUAGGGGACGAAUAAUGACGAGUGCCUCAUACCCCUCGGGUUUACUGACAUUAAUCUGAAUAACAGUGCUUGAUGGGAUGACCAUAGUUACUCAUCAUGGUUCAUGUUACCACUGAAGUUUUUUAAACUGAAAGUGGAAAAAUAAAUCCGUGUUGUAGUAUAAAGUAUGCCUAUACUGGACAGGAGUAUGAAAUACAAUGAAUGGAAGUCAAAGAACAAAACGAAAAUCCGUGAUUAAGAAAGGUUAAUUGCAGCAUGAACAGUUUCCAAAAUAUACUUAUUACAGCUUUUAUUGAAGGCAAAGAGCAAGAAAUAAAAAUUAUCAGAAAUUCUAUGAACACAUGAAAAAUUAUUAUCUUAAAAAUUAUAUAUCUGCUUAUUUAUAGUAUGCUCAAUACAGUACCACUAUAGUUACGAAGUUAAUAUAAAGCCUUAUGAUAUAAAGAUCUAACAUCAGUAAACAUAAAACCACUUAAUUUUGUAAAUCAAGUGUUUAAUUGAAGAGCUAAUAAAUUUAUAGUCUUCUUCCACAUUAAAAAAACCUGAAUGUUGAUGGUUUAAAUUUGAUGACGUUUAAACCCAGCAGUUUUCUGACUGGAGAUAUCCAGUUCACAAAUUAUCACAGAUGAAUUUAAGUCUAUAUUUUUAUAAAAUACAACACAGACUAUUUUAAUUUCUCUACACUAAUAAUGCAGAUGACCUAUCUAUUAAGCUUAAAGAUCUUCAGCAAACUCCAUAUGUAUAUCAAAUAAAACAAUUUUAUAGUCUGCAAAACAAAGUAAUAAAAACAUUGUCCAAACUGAGUUUUCAUACAGCCACAUUGCACUGUUAUUUUAGAAUUGCAAGGGGAAACAGAAUUGCAUCCACAUUCUGAGAGUAUAUUUCUACAAUACUGUAUAUAGUCAUGUAGUGCACAAAUGCCAACAACAAGGGACUGAAAUAGGAUCAACUCUUUUCUUUCUCAGAAACAAUCUUGUAAGCAUCCGAGUUCCCAAAGACAUAAAAGAAUAGUUACUUUUCUGAGAUCCUUUGAUAUUGCUCUUCAUGGUGGAGCUAUCCACAAGUGAUGGGAAAGAUCUCUUUUGAAAGUAAAUGGUGCUCCUUCAAAUGUGUUCAGAAACAUCUUUGCUGUUCCUUUCUCUGUUUCUCAAGUUUAACUUGAAAAGGAUGCUUGAUUUUUUUAAAAUUUGGUUUAGCUAUCACAAUGGGAUACCUAAUAUCAGACAGUGCUUGCAAACCUUAUUCUUCCAGCAUAGAAUCUAGCUGUUUCUUUCUCUGUGUCAACACAGGAGGCUGAAGUAAUCAGAUAGGUCUAAAGAACACAGAGGAUGUUAACCUGCACUUUCUCAGAAUCUGUGAUGAUGGGUUCAUACUUUCAACAUGACCACACUGAGCCAUAAGGCAUAUAAAUAGCUACUUUCACCUAAAGCACAGUUAUCACAGCAGUUUGUACAGUAGGGCUAUCAGUUCAUAGUAUUUAAAAUGUCAAUAUUGAUACUAUUGUCAUGGAUUAAUAAUUUCUGCAUGUAAUUUUAUCAUUUCCAUCUACCUCUGCUGUCGUUCAGUAAUAUAAAGGAAUUGUUGGCUCUUCCCCUCAUCACGUCUCCAAAAGACAAGCACACAAAAUCAGUUGUAUUGUCUAGGAAUAUCUUUGCAACACAACAGUUUUCAGUUUUGUUAAGUGAUAAUUUGAGCUCACUGUAUAAAUGUUUUUUUAUUAAUGACUUGCUUGUAUGCUAGAAUGGAGGACACAAAAAGGAAAAAGCAUCUCAGAUGAAAAUAGGGAUGUCAUUUCCAACAUAUUAAAAGGCAAACAGGUGUUGUUCUAAAUUAGGCAAAAAAAA